GUCCUACGGGGGGCAGCAGUGGGGAAUAUUGGUCAAUGGCCGGAAGGCUGAACCAGCCAAGCCGCGUGAGGGAGGAAGGCGCAGAGCGUCGCAGACCUCUUUUGCCGGGGGACAAAAGGCCGGACUCGUCCGGUCCUGAGGGUACCCGGAGAAAAAGCAUCGGCUAACUCCGUGCCAGCAGCCGCGGUAAUACGGAGGAUGCGAGCGUUAUCCGGAUUUAUUGGGUUUAAAGGGUGCGUAGGCGGGACGGUAAGUCAGCGGUAAAAAUGCGGAGCUCAACUCCGUCGAGCCGUUGAAACUGUCGU
rnacentral:rRNA from 1 species